UCUCAAAAACCCAACCGAGUGAGAGGAAAAGAAAACAGAGAACGAAGCUUUCUUUCCUCUUCAUACCCAAAACCGUGAGAAAGAGUGAGAGUGAAGGAGCAUUUCUGGUUCCUUCCAGCCACAACCGAGUGAGUAAGAGAGCUGAGUGAGUGAUAAGAGGAGGAAGCUAACUUAGAAUUUCAUAUAUCAGCUACCAUAGUGAGGAGGAACCGAAGCUAGGAGCAAUCUGCCACUAGUAAAACUUAGCAGAAAAAGGUAAGAAUCUUGUAACCACCCUUUUAUUUCUUGAAUAUAACUGAAUAUAUGGGCUUCAUGUUAGUUUAGCAAGGAAUAAUAAGUUUUAACCGAAGGGAGAUCUGAUAAAGAAGAAAAAUUGGAACUGGACUGAAGUUGUAGGAAGUAGGAACCGAGAGUUGUUGUUUGUUGUUGCAGCUUGUUAACCGAAAGUAUGGAGUAAUUUUCUGCUACAAGCUUAAACUAUAUGUUAUUUCCUUGUCUUACCUAAGUAACUAGAGCAGAGUUGAUAGCUUGAGUGAAAACUUUGCUAAGAUUAGCUGGUAGUUUCUAUCUAGCUGACCGAGAGAGGAAAUACGAAAUUUUCCAAAUUUCUUGACAGAUUUUGGGUUCCAAAUUCUUACGUUGAAGCUUAAUACCCUGCAUAAUAGUUUAGUCUCAGCAUGCAUGUUAGAUUGAGUGGGAAAUGAAGUAGAUAAUAGAGAAAUGUCUUGCUUAAAAAAAAAAAAACUGAGUUGCUGCCAAAACUUUUCCAGCAUGGCUGAAAGAGAGAGUUACACUUCAUAUCAGCCUUUCUUUCGAAGUUCAGCUGUAAAAUUUUAUACUUUCUGUUCAAGAUUACUUUGUAGCUUGCUAAUUAUGUUUUGCAUGUUGAGUUGAAGUUAAAACUGAAGAAAAUGUGAAGAAAGAACCGAAUCUUUAAACUGUCUUAUGGCUGGAAGAUUAGUUAGCAGAUGACAGAAUAAUUUUGAGGUUCAUGAUGGAAUUACUUGUUGAAAUGGUGGGUUAUCUGCUAUAGUUUAGGCUGGUUAGAUGAUAUGUUGAGUGAUUAGUGUUUAAGCAAGUAGACCAUGAAGAUUUGUUGAACAUCUUAAAUUGAUAUUGCUGGAAAUCUUGCUGGAUGGCCGAAACAGUGAAGAGUUGGGUUUUUCUAUGAACUUUCGAAAAUUCUAGGAUAGUUUGUUGUAAUAAUAUAUAUAUUUAUAUCAGUUUGUAACAUCUUGAUCUUGUUUUGAAUACUUUAAAGAACUUAAAACAUGAAGGACUAGUGAAGUGGAACAUAUAAGACUAGUAUGUAAUUCAUAAACAACCUAGAGUUUAGUUAGUUUUAAAAAGGAAAAUGGAGUAUCUAUAAGCCAUAAUUAAUAUUGGAUUGAGAAAGUAUAUUGGUUUGAACAUUAUACAAGUUUAUAAACUUGAAGAUAUGUAUGUUUCAUGGUUUAAAAAUAAUAAAGUCAAUAAGUUCGAAAAUAAAAUGAUGAAUAAAUAUUGAGAAUGUUAUAUUGUAUAUUUUAAAGCCAAACCUAAUUCGAAUAAUUUAAAUAAUAGGCGAACAUCUACAAAUUGUAAAUUUACCAUGGAAUUAUAUAUUUAUCUCAGGAAAUAGCUGCGAGCCAGGAAACAAACCCGAGGCUCGAGAGUAAAUUAUUUGGAUAAUUGGUGAGUGUUUUCCGAAUUUAUGUGUUAAACUGCUUAUGUGUACCUAAGUGCAAUUAUAUGGCAAAUGUGUUUAUUAUGAAAUAUUGCUAAGUGAUUCAUUGUGAAGUAUUUUCAAUUGUCUCUCGCCUUCUAAGUCGAUGGUGUACUUUAUCGCACUCGUCUUAGUUGAGCUUGAAGGUCGAUAAUUGAUCGAGUGAUAUUGUAAGUGUGCAUGACUGUAAGCCGAGUGUGUACUUUAUCACACCGGCUGAACUGGGCCCCAAAACCCUCUGUUCAACAAACUAUUCGAGCCAGCAAAGGGCUUGGUCGAGUAGGACGGUAGCUUUGGGUAAGUGUUGUGGUAUGCUCGAGUAUUACCACGGAGUAGCAGAUUACUGAUAUUGAUAUGGCCAUCCAAGUGAGGGAAGUGUUUAUUGUUUUGGAGAUUAUAAGGAGGAGUUCGGCGGAGUGUGUAGUGCAUUGAAGUGGCUCUAAUGCGAGCACCGUAUCCUUUUAAAAGUGAUUGUACAGUGAAAUGUGCACUACUUGCUUAAUUGUAUUGAUUCAUGUGAUUAUUAAAUGUUACUUGCAUGGAAACCUCACGGGCGUAAGCUCACCCUUUUAGCUUUGUUUUCCUUACAGGAGUCGGAGAUUGAAGAGUAAUUGGAUUGAACUAGAAAGUUAUUUUGGAAAGAUCCGUUAUUUUGUGUAUAUAGUGUAGUCAUCGUCUCUUUUUAAUUUUGAGACGGCUGAAUCUUUUGUUUGAGUUGGUGUGAUAUUAAGAAUGGAUAUUUAGAACAAGUAUUUAGUUUCUUUUAUUAGACAAAUUUAUGUUUCAAGUUUAUUGGAGUUGUACUUAAGAGUGAAUGUUCAGUUGUCCAAUGGUAAUGUUAUCUCUGAAGUUAAUGUGAGUGAGUGAGUCCUGGCGAGAGCCAAGCAGGCGAUCCGCUAACUUCUAGGGUAUGCCCUAGGAGAAGGUGGGGUCGUCACAGGUGGUAUCAGAGCUCCUAUCGAACUCGUGCCGUAAGAGGGUUUUCGGACUGUGGGGAAUGGCCUAUUAAGUGUUGAACUAAUUACUAUUGCCAAGGGAAUUAGAUAUGUAUGUUGGAUUGGAAUCUCAAAUAUAGGUGAUUUACACUUGGGACUGGCCAGGCUGAGUUGUGAAUCAUCUUAUUUUCGGAUUCUUGUACUCGAGUACCGAAUAUUACAUUUAAUGGUGUAUUUGCAAACUAGGAAGAAUUUGCAUUAUGACGUGAUCAGAAAUCAUGAUUUAAUUUGAAGAAAUAGAAUUAAAGAGACCAAGGCUAGCUUUUGAAAGUUAAAAAGUGAAGAGCUAAUAGUGAGAUCUUGAAGAUUAGUGCCAACUCUGUUUUAAGAUGAGUAAUUUUACUAGUCGUUCAAUGGUAAAUGGAAUACAUACCAUCUCUUACCCAAAAUAUAAGUUUAGACUUAGAAUUUGAGUGAAAUAGUAGUUUAAGUAAGGACCAGGAGCGUCCUUUCGGCAGUAUGUUCUAGGGCAUCGAAUGGCUAGUCACUGUGAUUGUUCAAGAAUUUACUUCUAUCUGGAGCGAGUGAUACUCUUUUAAAUGGGUAAAAGACAGCAGUUAGUAAUAGCAAAUGAGCGAGCUUAUAUUAGACUGUAAGAAAUGAGGAAAUUCAUAAGGAUGUGACGUGACAGGAUUCUAGAGUUGGAAACUAAUAUGAAAGAGGAACCUAUGGAAGACUGGAAGUAGAACCAAAAGAGGAAAUUGGGUCUGGUGGAACUGUCCAAAAUUAGAUUAAUGAAGUUUAAGUUGAAUCUAAACUAAGGGAUGAGCUAUUAGCCAUGUGGUUAUAAUAAUUUGUGUAUUAUUGAAUUGUUUUCCUUCAUGUUAUAAAGAUUGAAGUUUGAGUUAUGUAUGAAAAAGUGGGACUAUCAGUGAAUUGUUUGGCUUUUAAAGAUGUUUGAAGUUGGUGUGUAAUGUAAUUUAUAUUGUGUGUAUGUAAUUUGAUGAUCAUGUGUUCAUUUGUCAUAAUACUGUAAUAUUUAUUAGUCCUUGGGAUUAAAUAAUUACUAACUUGAGUGAAAUUUAAUUUGAUAACCAAAGUGGUGUAUAGAAACUAUGAGAUUAAGGUUGGAGAAAAAAGAGAGAAGAGAUUGAAAGUUGAGCUUAUAACGAUGUUAUAAUUGUUGCAAGGGCCAAUGGUGUUUUCUAAGAUGGAUUGUUGACAAGGAUACUGUCAAUGGAACAUUUAGAAGGAAGAUCAUGAAGAAUCUAAGGGUAGUGUUACCGACUUUAAGGAAGCAUCAAUUGUGAGUGUGAAUUCUGAAUGGAGAAAAUAUCAUUUCUAGGGCAUGAUAUUUCAAAGACAGGAAUUGAAGAAUAAAUAAAUUCCAUAGUCAUAGUCCUAUGAGAACAUCAUGGAAUGGAAGAAAUAACAUAGGAACUGGAAGAUAAAAGUGCAGAAGGAAUACUCGGAAUUCUUACGAUUAAAAAUAUGAAAUUUCGAGGACGAAAUUUUCUUAAGGGGGGAAGAUUGUGAGAACUCGAAAAAAAAAUUUAUAUGUACGCUAUGAAUUUCUUUUAUUCUAAUUACUUUGAUAUUAGAAAUAUUAUAACGAAUAAAUGGUUAAAUUAAAUGCCUAAUUGAAUUUAUAUAAAAAUUGAGAAUUUAGAAAUGUGGCGACUCCACUUCCCCCUAAGGCGAACCAGAGGGUUGGCGGGCCGUCUGCCUAGCUCUCGCCAGGACUCACACAAGCAAACUAUCCAACUCCUUCCGAAGAAUAACGUAAACUAUUACAACACCGUUUCCUUCCAAAUAGGCUGAAGACUAAAACCACAUUAACUUCAGAGAUAACAGCAUUUUUAAAAUAGCCAAUCGUCGACUCUUAAAUACCUUACGCAUUACAAACCAGGCAACAAAAACAUACAAUCCAAAUACAUUAGUACAAGCCAAAUAACAAUUCCAGGGUUUACCCUUUUCCAGCUUCAAGCGGCAAUCCAAAAUAAAAGAUACAAUGUUUAACUCAAACUACAUGCAUAAAAGUGAAAUUAGAUUUUAAGUCUUGCUCAAGUGCCAGGACCUGUCAAGGAAAACAAAUGAACGUGGGGUGAGCUAAAGCUCAGUGGUGCCCCAAAACAUGCAAUCACGUAAAUCAAACAGCGAGUAACAAUUUCACAAAUUGAACAAUUAGGAAAGCGUAUAAUAGCACAAGAUAGGAUACAGGGCUCUCAGGAGCCAUUCUCCACGCUUGAUCAAAAUUUACCAUAGUUGACCCUCUGUCAACUCUCACUACCUAAGGUCCAUGUAGAUCUUUUUAUUUUUCUUAACUCCGACCACCAAUCAUUCCCCUUUACCCGGCCCGAACGCCAAACACGAGAGUGGUAAUACUCGAGCAUACCUUAGGGACUGGUCAAGGAAUUCAUCCAACGACGUUACGUCCAACAAGAGAUUAGGGACUAGUCGAGGAAUUCAUCCAACGACAUUACGUCCAACAAGAGAUUAGGGACUGGUCGAGGAAAUACUCGAGCAUACCUUAGGGACUGGUCGAGGAAAUACUCGAGCAUACCUUAGGGACUGGUCAAGGAAUUCAUCCAACGACGUUACGUCCAACAAGAGAUUAGGGACUGGUCGAGGAAUUCAUCCAACGAUGUUACGUCCAACAAGAGAUUAGGGACUAGUCGAGGAAUUCAUCCAACGACGUUACAUCCAACAAGAGAUUUGUGACGCCUCGAAAGAAUGAGUGUGAGAACCCGAAAAUUUUCUAAGUUUCUAGGGUUUAUUUUAUUAAUCGCCUGCCUUUUCUACAUUUUCUUUAUUAGAAAAUUUCUCCAGAUAGUUUUAUGGGUAAAUAUAGUUUGAAAAUAAUUUUUCUAGUAUCGAUUAGUUUUUGAGAAAUUAAGAGCUUAUACCGGACGUGGGACCCGCUAGUGUGAUAUAAUUUUGGUGACUAAGUGAAUUGUGUGCUAAGUGUUAUUAUUUUACAAGGUGCUAGGAAAUGAUUAGAGGGUGGUUAUAUGAUGUAACCAUUGGAAGCCAAAGGAUUAAAGAAAAUACUAGAAGGGUCAAGUGUCACAAACCCAUUGCAAGUUGGACCUUUGACUAAGACCAUGAUUUCUUCUUCUUAUCUUGACCAAACCUUUUGUUUUCAUCAUUUCUUCUUCUUGUAAGCAUGAUGGACGAAAUUUUGAGAGAAAGAGAGAGAAAAUCCAGCAUCUUGCACCUCAAUUUCUUCCUCCAAUCUUGAGUUCUAACCGAUUAAAUUGCAAAUCACUCCAUAAAACUUGCUAGCUAAGGAAGAUUGAAGCUAUUGGUGGAGUUGUUUUGGAAGAAAAAUCCCUAAGCCAUCACCUUUCUUGAUAUUUCAAGGUAUCAUGUCCAACCAUCCUUUCUUUGAUCUUGAUUUUGUUAAAUUAAUGACUUGUGAUGGCUAAUGAGAUGUUUUAGUGGAAGAUUAGCACUUGAAUGCAAAAAUUUCCAGAUUAGGGUUUUCAAUUUCCCCAAUUCUGCCUGACACUGUUCAUCAUAGUUAGAGGCCGAAUUGGCCUUAGCACAAAACAUGAAAGUUGUAGAGAAUGAGGUUUUAUAGUUCCUGCAAAAUUUCAGCUCAAUCCCAAGUUCGGUAGCCUGUGAAAAGACCAAAAUACCCUUGCUGCCCUGUUUCUGUCCGAACCUGGAAAUCAGCUUUGGUAAUUGGUUAGUUUGACUGGGAAUACUACUGAUUUGGUUGUUGAUGUCUUCUUAAGAAUUCUAGCCUUGUAUCUUAGCUUUUAAAUGGCUUUGGAAUUACCUGAUUUGGAGUUGUGUGUGCUGAGUUAUGACUGAAUGAAUCAGGACUGCCACAGUGAGCUUCGAACUAGAAAAUCUGGGGUUGUUUUGGUAAAUAUGACCUAGUUAGGGUGAGAACUGGAAUGAGUUGUCUUCAUAAAAGUUAUAGGUCUUUGUCUUAGCUUCGAAACAGUGUAAAGUUCACCUCAAACCGAUAAGUGUAACUUCAGUUGUGGUUGUUACGCCGUAAGGUGUUUUAUCACCAUGUGUUGUAUGUGAGAUUGUACUUGACUUGAGAUGAUUUGGGAAUAUAUUGUAGGUUGGAAAUGAAGCAUUUAUGGGGAAAUGCUGUCCGAACGUUGAGAAUGUAUGAUUGCUUUGAGUUUGUGAUUUAGGGUUCAGACUCGGGCAAGGUAAUGAUAUAUGAUGGAUGGUUUCUGAGCCGUGGAGGUGAGUGACCCUAAACUGUUUCCAAAGUUACUCUUGAACUGUUUUCUUGCAUUAUUUACUCGAUUGUAUCUCAUGCGUGCUUGCAUGUGACUUCAUGACAUGAUUUGGCUUAAAUGAGUACUUAGAAUUCGUGUGCUAAACACCAACGUCUCCACCUCUGUGUACUGUUCAUCUGGAGCAAAUGGCUCCCUCUCUCACUGUUUACUGUUACUGGAUCUGUUUGAGCGUUGGGUGUUUAAGUGCAAUGAUUUCACUGGCUCACGAGAGCAAUAAACGUACAUUUGAUCUCUGAAUCAUGACAUCAUUGAAAUGAACGAUGGUGAAAUAUAUUUGAUUACUGAUUUUACUGGUUACUCACUGAGCUUUUAGCUCACCCCAAAAAUGUUGUAUUCCCCUCCACAGGGCUCAAGGCGAAGGAAAGGCUUGUAGUACUAAUUCACGUGAUUGGAUGGCAUAUAUCUUGUACAGUUUAUUUUGGAUUUAUUUUAUGUAAUAGUUAGGCUAGUGUGACUAUUUGGAAUUGUAAUGGAUGUAAGUAUACAUCCCACGCUUGAGAAUUAGUUUCCGCUUCUCUUAUGAUUUGUAAUUCUUGGAGAAUUUGACGUAUAUUUGAGAUUUAUCUUAUACUUCAUUGGAGGACUGUAGUGAGUGAAUGAGUCCCGGCGAGAGGUGGGCAGGCGACCCGCCAAACCCUGUGGUACGCCUUAGGGGGAGGUGGGGCCGUCACAAGAUUACCAUGUCAGGGUAAGAGUCCUUUCCACCCUUAAGGUGUAGUACACUCCCCUGCCUAGUAAUUAACAAGUGCAAGCAUGUAUUUAUGAAAACAUUUCAAGCAAGUCACCACUUGAACAGCUAGUGUGAUAAAGUACACGCUGCUCACUUCGAUGGAUCAGAAACCAUUUUUUUUCCAAAUAUCACAUAUCAAGUCAAGAAAGCGCUUUAAUCAAGUAAGCAUAGAACAAGCAGGAACACUCACCAAGAGUGAAGUCACAGAUCAAGCUGGGAAUCGAAAUCCACGUCCUCGCUAAACCCUAGAAAACCAAGUUUUAAAACUAUAAGUUUUACUAUACAAGUUCUUGGUUUACGUAUAUAAAAGAUUAUCUAGUAUACAACUAGUUUAUUUUCUUGAAAUAAAUCGACAAUCCACUUAAAGUUAAAAGUAGUAAAAUAUUUCGUAUAGUUUCCUUAAAAAUACUUUUCUUUCUAGAGGUGCAGCUAAAUCUAAUUUACUUAAAGUAAGUUUUCUUGCCGAGCAAGUUUUCUAUGUCUUUUAUUUGAAAUUAUUCAAAUCUAGUGUUUUUACAAAUUUCCUCUAAAACAACUGGUCAAGGAUAAUUUUAUGAAAAACUUAAAGUUUGGAAGUUAAUGCAAUUAUUCCCUAAAGGUAAUAAAACUAGUUUAAGUAAAGGAAAACAUUAACUAGUCGGCAAGGUUUUAAAAGUCCUGAUAUUAAAAUCUUAAAAUGAACGUACUAUACUAUAUAUAACUUGCUAUUAAGGCAAAAUAUUCCCACAAGGCUUGAUUUAAAGAUACUUGAAUUCAAAAGACUAAAAUGGACUUCACGAUUCCAAUUCAUUUGCACAUUGUAUUCCAAGAUGCCAUUAUAGGUAAAACACAAUUCAAAUAUAAAUUUCACUAGGGCUUCAUCAAUCAUUAGCCCUAAGUCUCAAUAGAUUUCAUUCAAACAAAUUUAACAAAGGAAGUCCACGGUAUCAAAACAAUUCCAAAUCACCAACCAUGGACCUUCCAAAUACAUUUCAGCCAACUACUAGAACAAAUUCAUCAAAAAUUAAAUUCUUGCAAAAACUACUCAAGGGGCCAAGAGCUUCAUCAAUCAUUAGCUCUUGACAACAAAUAAACACUUUCAAUCACAAUUCAACCAGCUUUUCAAGUGUUACAAUCAAUAAGAUAAACAUGAUAACUAGCACAAUAUGAUACAAGACAUUUUACUUAGAAUUAUAGCCAAUUAUCAUGAACAUUUUCCAAAACAAUAUAAGAAUUCCAGCUCCUUUCUCAUUUAGCCAUUAACCAAUUUUUCCAGCAACAAGACUUCGACCUUUUACACUCCCAGCUUAUCAUGCAGAUGGUAAUUAUUAUAAUUACGGGGUAUCUUAAACAAUGACAUGAAAUUUACAGCUUAUAACAUAAUUUUAGAACCCAAAAUUCGCAAAAGAAAACUGGAAAAUUCUUUUCUUCUUCACUCGGCUACACUGGAAAAAUUCCAGCAGCUUAGUCAAUCAUUAAUCCGGAUUGUCCUCGGCUGAAUCACUAAAUUAUGUACUCAAAACUAACAUGCAUGACUAAUAAAUGGAACUACUAUCAAUUCCAGUCCAAAACAGGGUCGGACACCAACAACAUUCAUCCAAAAUUCCAGAAUUUGUUCAACUAUUUUCGGAUGACUUGCAUGCAGCAGAUUUUUGUUUCAUUUUUUUUUCUUGUUUGAUCCGAACUGAUUAACCUCAUGCAUAGCAUAAUCACCUAGUUCCUAGUUAGCUAAUCACCUAUCUAAGCUCAGAUUAUCACGAUCAAACAAGUCAAGGCUAAAAUUUCCAGCUCAAGCUCACGGCAAAUUCCAAAUUCUUCCGAAACCCAUUUUCUGGUAACUCAAUACUUCAUCCAAACGCACAACCCUCACAUGCAUGCCUCUAAACAGCUUCAUCAACCCAUAAACAACUCAUCUAAGUCCAGAAAUUACCUCAGCUUGAAGCUUAACACACUCGGCCAGCAGCAGAAAUAUUUUUCCUCUCUUCUCGGCUUUGCUCACGCACGCGAGGAUGGUUGGUCUGAGUUCAGUAAUUGCAGCUGUGGUGAUUGUGAUUGAAUUGAUCACGGCUGGUUGAAGGUGAAGAAUGAAAUGGCAGCUCUCGAGUGAUGGAGGAAGUAAUGAAGCUCGCACGGUUAUCUCUUGCUCUCACCCUCUCUCGGACAGUUCAAGGGCCGAAACUCGCACAGCUCUCUCUCUGAUUUCCUCUCGUCGAUGAUACCAAGGCAGGAGGUGAAAUGAAAUGAAAUGGUGUUAUGGAAUGUUGGAGUUGCUGAAAUGGAAGACAAGUCGCGGAUGAGGGAGGUGGAGUGUGAGUGGGUAGUGGACUGUAUAUAUUGAAGUGUUUGGAGUGGAGCUAAGUCGGCACUUGGAAUGGAAGGUGCUGGAAUGAAAAUAUUGUGGUGAGUAGUAGUUGUUAAAGUGGAGAAGGGAACGAGGUCCUUUUGUUACCUUUUCGGACCAAAGUCUCUCGGCUGUUUCUAUUUUGGGAAGGUUAGGGUUCCAGCAAUGGCAGGCCUCCAGCCGCCAGGAGGGGGGCUUGGCCGUUCCUUUGCUGCCGUGCUUCAGCAGCAGCCAACGCCAUCCCCUUGCAAGGUUAAACCCGCUGCCCAGUUCAAAGAUGAGCCGGCCGUCAUGUUCUCGGAGGAAGACAUAGCAAAGUUGGCGGCACCCUUCAAGUUUGCUGUCGUGGGGAAGUUCUCCUAUGGGCGGCCGAACCUUGACGCUAUCCGAAAGUCCUUCACAACUAUCGGUUUCACAUCCAGUUUCACCAUAGGUCUCCUAGACCAGCGGCAUAUCCUGAUACGUUUUUGUUUGGAGGAGGAUUACUUGCGGUGUUGGACGAAGGGGCUGUGGAGUAUUGCUGAUUUCCCCAUGCGUACCUUCAAGUGGACACCAGAUUUUAAAGUUACCAGCGAGUCCACUCAUGCGCCUGUCUGGGUUGCUCUAGAACAUCUGCCCAUCCACUUUUUUGACAAAGUCUCGCUGUUUUCAAUUGCUGCUGCCCUUGGCAGCCCUUUACAAGUUGAUGCUGCGACUGCUAAUUUGGUUCGGCCCAGUGUUGCACGUAUCUGCAUCGAUCUGGACAUCUCUAGGGAGUUGCCUAGUCGCAUUUGGAUUGGGACGGGCAGCCAUGGUUUCUGCCAGCUGGUAGCAUAUGAGAACUUGCCAGCAUACUGCUCGCUUUGCUGCAGCCAGGGACACUCCAAUACGGAAUGUCGACAGGGCAGGCGUGGGAGUAGGGGCGGUCCAGGCGGAGGAGAGGUUGUCAGGGCUAUGGAGGCACAGGCUCAGGAGGGGAGGAGCGCCGCUGCUGCCCAGCACAGGGAUGCAGUUUUGCAACCAGCAUCCAUGACUGGCCUCUUGACGGCGACAGAUGCCGCGCCUGUUGGGGCUGAUAUGGCCUUGCAUACCCAGGAGAGGGUCGUUGAUGCGCCUUUGAAGGUCACGGAGAACCCAUCAGCCUUGGGGAUCAUUUGUGAUGAUACGCAGCUCCAUUUGGGUGAGCAAGAAAAGGUAUCCUCCCAGGGAUCUCUCUCGGAUGGAGAGGAUCAGCCAAGAAAGGCCGCACCAGAUAAGGCUGCGCUGGUAGCCUCCUUCCAACAGUUCAGUAUGGCUUUGGGGUCGCGGUUACCCAAGCAAAUUGCUGAAUGCGACGAGGCCGGCUUCACCAUGGUACUCCCGCGGAAGUCGAGGAAACGAAGGGUGUACAAUGCUAUUCCCCGGUAGAUUCUUACGCGACAAGCUUCUAAAGCCGUCGAGGUACCCCACAUUUCUUUACCCAAUGCAUAAUCUCCUCAUUUGGAACGUUAGAGGAGCGACGAACAAUUCUUCUGUUCGUCGUCUGCGGGCUUUGCUCUGUCUACAUCACAUUGCUAUUUUAGUUCUCCUAGAACCUAUGGCAGACACAUGUAACAUAGAAACCUUGCGUGUGAAGCUUUCUUUUGACUUUUGCUUGCUUAAUUCCUCGAAUAAGAUUUUGGUUUUUUGGCAUUUUGGUUUUCAUUUCCAUGUGCUGUGCAAUUCGGAACAAUUCCUCCAUGUUAUGGUCGGCCACAACUCUUGGACUGAGACUAUUAAUGCGUCAUUUGUUUAUGCCAAGUGCACCAGGGCCGAAAGGCGUAUCUUAUGGUCUGAGUUAAGCUCCCUCGCUGGGUCGAUCUCCCGACCGUGGCUGGUAGGGGGGAUUUCAACGUUAUCGGCACACUGGCAGAGUAUGUGGGCCGAUCGACCCAAGACCUUGGGGCGAUUUCUGAUUUUAAUGGUGUAAUUUCUGACUGCCACCUCCAGGACCUCCCUUACUCCGGAAGCUCUUACACAUGGUCAGGUGUUAGAGCCGGUGCCAGGAUUUAGAAGCGGCUGGAUAGGGUGCUUGUCAAUCAGCACUGGCUCGAUUUCUUGCCGAAUACCUCUGUCCAACAUCUCAAUCGUGCCACCUCUAACCAUUCGCCCUUGUUAGUGAGUCUGCGGCUUGCAGCUGCUAGCAUUCCGAAGCCAUUCAAAUUCCAGUCGUUUUGGGUUUCAAGCCCUGGGCUCUUGCCGCUGGUGCAGAGUAUUUGGGAUUUACCCAUGCAGGGGUAUGGUAUGUACCGCUUGGCUUUCAAGCUAAAGCGGUUGAAAACAUGUUUAAGACAAUGGAGUAGAGAGCAGUUCGGGGACAUAUUUCAAACCAUCCGGCAGCACGAGGUUGAGGUGCAGCAAAAGGAGGUUAUGUACGAAGCUAGCCAAACAGUAGAGACGAGGGCAGAACUUCACCACGCACAAGGCCACCUGUUACAGAGUUUAAGUGUUCAAGAGGACUACUGGCGACAGAAGGCGCGCUUACGCUGGGUGAGCGACGGCGAUUCAAACACAAGAUAUUUCCAUGCUUUUGUUCGGGAGAAGCGAUCGAAACUUGCCAUACAUCGCAUUAAGGAUGAGGGAGGGACAUGGCUCGAGGGUGACGACCGAGUUGGAGAGGAGGCAGUUAGGUUUUUUCAACAGCUCCUCACAGCGGAGGAGAUCAGGGAUGUUGAGGAGCUACUGGUCCAUAUACCGGAGCUUGUGUCGGCGGCUCAGAAUGGGGAAUUGAUGAGAGAAGUCACGAUGGAGGAGGUAAAAGGGGUCGUGUUUGACCUGGAUAAGGAUAGUGCCCCGGGUGUGGAUGGCUACACUGGCCUUUUUUUCCGCCAUUGCUGGGACACUGUGGCUCUUGAUGUUUUGGCAGCAACGAGAGACUUUUUGGCUGGGACCCCGAUCCCAAAGGGUAUUGCUAGUACCCUAAUUGUGCUGAUCCCGAAGAAACCAAACCCAGCUACAUUUGCAGAUUUUUGUCCCAUUAGCCUAUGCACUUUCAUUAAUAAAGUUUUUACGAGAGUGCUUGCUAAUAGAUUGCGGGCUAUUCUCCCAGGCCUUAUGUCUCCUGAGCAAUCUGCGUUUUGUCCAGGCCGCGAUAUUGCCGAAAAUGUCCUCUUCACCCAGGAAAUGAUAGCAUCCAUCAACAAGAAAGCCCGGGGACACAACUGCAUCUUCAAAUUGGACAUGAUGAAAGCCUUUGACAAAGUAUCCUGGGUGUUUCUGCAGCGACUCCUUCAGAAGUUUGGUUUUGAUUAUAGGUUUAUCUUGCUCGUUUUGAACAACCUCUCUCAAAGUUGGUUUUCUAUGAUGGUGAAUGUGUGACAGCCCCACCUUCCCCUAACGCGAACCAAAGAGGUUAGCGGACUGCCUGCCCAACUCUCGCCAGGACUAACGGUGCAGUUUAGAGCGAUCUAUCUCGUUCCGGAACUUAUAAACGCGCGUAAACAAGGCAAAAGGGCAAAAUAACCCAAAAUAAAAAAAAAAAAUGAAAUUCGAAGUCGGUCAUGAAUAGUAACUGACCCGUCAGAACGCAACCAAAUAUUGAACAAACAUUCACAUCUUGAACUUUAGCAAAUACAAUCCAAAGUGACAUACAAAAGUUGUCAAAAGUGAAUAUAUACAAGGUUUGCCAAAUUGAAAGUGAAAACGGCCCUAAAGUUACAUUUAGGGUUUCACUUCAUACACAAUACAAAAAAUAUACAUUUAGUUCAUUCGGCAACCAUCUAUCAAGAUUCAUUCCAAAAAAGUCAUAUUCCUAUAAGGAAAACAAAAGAAACGGUGUGAGCUAAUUGCCCAGUGAGAUACUAUCACUUACACAACCAAGUGCAUAUAAGCAUCAAACUUUCAAUCAAUAUAAUAAAAAUAAGCAAAGGCACGCGUCAAAUAUGGUGAUAAAAGGAUACAGAUGGCUCUCAAGAGCCCUUUUCCUUGUUUGCAUUUCUUGAUCGAACGUCAUUGACUCUUCGUCAAUGUUCAACAACAACCAACCGUAGAUUCCACUUUACUUCCAUUCCUUCCACCUAACAUUCCCCAACGGGGCCCGAAAUCCAAACACUUGCAUUGUGGUAUUACUCGAGUAAACCGGAAUUGAGAGUCUCUCAUACUACAAGAUUCCAUAUAACAUUGCCCCAAGGCACAUUAAUUGGCACGACCAAGCCCUCACCGGCUCGAUUCAAUCAAUUACCAAUGGGGUUGAGCUCAUUGAUAACAUUUGUAGUCGUUGGAGACUCGUCCAAACGACACCAAGUCAUGCAUUUCAUUUCAUAUAACAUCUCAUAUAACAUUCCAAUAACUUUUCAAUAACAUGCGAAACAAUAAGUGAGAAUGAUAAAGUACACUCUCACUCCAAUGAAUUAACAUUCAAAAUCUCAAGUUCAAAUAUCAAAGCCAUAUAAUAGCACACAAGUGAGUAGUACACUCACCAAGCUAGCAAAUGUGGUUUCAUGCACUUCCGUCAAAAGAACGUUGUGCACCACCGUCACGCCCUAAAACAUGCAAACAAAUACAAUGAGACUCGAUAACGAGUCAUAAACCAAGGCCAAACAUGACCCCAAUAGGGUUCCAUAAGCAUAUACAAACAUUAAAGGAAACCAGAAAUUUCGGAAAUGUAACUAGCUUUGGCCCUGAAAAAAUAGUUUUGUCCUCAUUUUGCGGUAAUGGUACCAAUUUCACUACGAUUAUCGGAUGAGGGUACAAGACCCACCAUCUCGAAGCUAAAAGACAGGGCUACAACAUCCCAGAAGGUCACUCAACCCAGUUUUGAGUGCAAACAGGUCAAAAAUGCAAUAUACUACAUCAAAAACGUAAAACAGAUUCACCAAAAUGCAUUCUAGCGGAAAUAUCAUAACUCAGGCUCUACAAGUCCAAAUCUAGAAAUUCCAAAACCAUCUGAAAGCUACGAAACAGGGCUAAAUUUCAUCAGAAGGCCUCAACAACCAAUUCAGAAACAAUUCCAGCCAAAACAACCCAUUACAGUCGCACUUCUCAAUUUCGGGUAAAACCAGAACAGCAAUAGUAAUUUUGACUUAUCUCAUUCUAUACUACUCUGAUUGACCUGAAAUUUUGUAGGCACCUCUAUAAUGUAAUUCCCUACAACUUUCAUGUUUUAAGAUAAGGCUAAUUCAGCCUCUAUCUAGGACCUAAAAUUUCGGACAGAAUGCUCCCUCAAGAACCCUAGUUUUCUGAAAUUUCUUCCAAACCAGAAAUUGAUUGCAAUUAAUCACUUUUUCCACCUCCUUAAGUAAUUAUAGACCAUUUCCAAUCAUCAUAGAUAGCCACACAAUCAUGCUUAUAUUAAAACAGAAAAAUCCCCAAAAAUAAUAAAACUUCAUCAUUUCAACCACAAAUCAAGAAUUAAUCCAUAAACUUGCAUCUUAUACUACCACUAAACAUGAUUUAAGCAUCAAUUAAAGGAGGAGGGUGGUUCUUCACAACUUACCUUAAGAACAAGAGAGAGAGAGCUAUUGACCACCUUAACUUUCCAAACAACUCCACAAAUCCACUCACUAACUCUAAUUGAAGAGGUUUUAUGGAGUAAUUUCAAGGUUGGAUGGUUAGUUUUGAUGAUUUGGAACAAGAUUGAAGUGUUUUCUUCCUUGUGCUUGGAGUAAGAGAGAGAGAAAGAGAGCAAGAGAGGACCGGCUUCAAGGAGGAUUUUUUUGAGGAUUUUUGGGUCAUUUUGGUUAUUUAAGUCAAUGGUAAGAAAAGUCUUAAGGUAAGGCCAAUCAAAUGGUGACACUUGUCACCUAUUAUUAAAUGCUCACCAACCUUGUCUCUCUUAUAUCAAUCCACUUAGCACCCUCUACUUAUCUUUUAACACCCGGUAACUUAAUUCCAGUAUGCAAAACUUAACCUAGUUGGCCGAAUUUUUCCGAACUUUUCGCACUAGCGGGUCCCACGUCCGAUAUAUAUCCUUAAUUUUUUCAAAAACUAUCCAAUACUAGAAAAAUCAUCUAAAAACUAUAUUUACUCAUAAAAUUCACCAAGAAACUUUCCCUAAGCCAGAAAAUGCAGAAAACAUGCCAUUAAGGGAAAAAACCCUAGGAAAAUAUUAGGAGGAAUUUACAGGUUCUAACACUCUCUCCCCCUUAAAAGAAUUUCGCCCUCGAAAUUUAUCACCUUAACUCCCGAAAAGGUUUGGGUAUUUCUUUCCCAUUUUUUCUUCCACUUCCUAGGUAGCUUCCUCUAUCCCAUGGUUUCUCCAUAGUACCUUCACUAACAGAAUCUGCUUGUUUCGAAGCUCUUUGACUUUCCGGUCAAGCACUUGGACAGGUUUUUCUUCGUAAGCAAGCGAUUCGUUUACUUCGAUCUCCUCCGAUUGUAAGAUAUGGGAUGGAUCGGGAUAAUAUUUUUUUAGCAUCGAGACGUGGAAUACGUCGUGAAUUCGAGAGAGACUGGACGGCAGCUCUAAUCGAUACGCGACCGCUCCUACCCUCUGGAGGAUCUUGUAGGGUUCGACGUACCGCGGUUGGAGCUUCUUUCCUUUGCCUGCUGUGACACUUCGUAAGGGUGUGAUCUUGAGGAAUACGUUGUCCCCAACUUCGAACUCCAAGUUUUUUCUUCGAUUAUCCGCGUAGCUCUUUUGUCGGCUUUGAGUUGUUUGGAGUCGUUGCCGUAUCAAUUUGACCUUCUCUCGAGCCUCUUCCAUCCAUGGAAUAGUUACCGGGUCUAGUGCCUUCUUUUCGCCAACUUCGUCCCAGUAAAUCGGUGACCGGCAUUUUCGUCCAUAUAAUGCUUCAUAUGGAGCUAUUUGAAUCGACGAAUGGUAGCUGUUGUUGUACGCAAACUCUACUAAGGUCAUGUGUUGACCCCAGUUGCCUCCAAAAUCCAGAAUGCAAGUUCGUAGCAUGUCCUCGAGAGUUUGAAUCAUUCGCUCCGAUUGUCCAUCCGUCUGAGGGUGAUAGGUCGUGCUCAAAUUGAGUUUAGUCCCCAGGGUUUCUUGAAACUUCUGCCAAAAUCGAGAUACGAACCGUGGAUCUCGAUCGGAGACGAUGCUCACAGGAAUGCCGUGUAGCCUUACAAUCUCGUCCAUGUACAGUUGGGGCAACUUGUCCAUGGAAUACUUCAUGUUCACCGGCAAGAAAUGGGCCGACUUGGUUAACCGAUCGACGAUCACCCAAACGGCAUUGUGUCCUCGCUGCGUUCGCGGCAAACCUGAAACGAAGUCCAUAGUGAUGUUUUCCCACUUCCACUCGGGUAUCUCAAGGGGCUGUAACAAGCCCGAUGGUUUUUUAUGCUCUGCUUUAACUUGUUGGCACACGAGGCAUUUCUGCACGUACAAAGCGAUUUCCUUGUUCAUAUUGUCCCACCAAUAGGUUCCUUUCAGGUCUUGAUACAUCUUGCUGCUACCCGGAUGGAUUGUAUACUUGGAUCGAUGGGCUUCUUCUAGAAUUUCCGUUUUCAACGAUUCAUCCUUCGGCACCGCUAUUCGGUUUCGGUAUUUUAAAAUACUCUCAGGACCAAAAUUGAAAUCAGUGGUUUCCCCUUUUUCCACUUUCUCUCCCCACUUCUGUACCAUCAGAUCCUCCUUUUGAGCUUCUUUAAUCCUCUCCAACAGGGUGGAAGUCACUUUAAUAUUACCAAAAAUCAUCUUAUGACUCCCAAGGCAGGGUCUCCACUCGCAAACCGACUCGAGCAAAUUCCACUCUCUAAUCAUUAAGCUUGCAACCUGAGCUUUGCGACUUAGAGCGUCGGCCACUACGUUCGCCUUUCCUGGAUGGUAGUUGAUGGUACAGUCGUAAUCCUCUAGAAAUUCCAUCCACCAUCGCUGCCUCAUAUUUAAUUCCUUCUGUGAGAAAAGAUACCUCAGGCUUUUAUGAUCGGAGUAAACUUCGAAAGUUACUCCAUAUAAGUAGUGCCUCCACUUCUUCAGAGCAAAAACAACUGCAGCUAACUCCAGAUCGUGGGUCGGGUAAUUUUGCUCGUGGGGUUUUAACUUCCUCGAGGCAAAAGAGAUCACAUUUCGAUUUUGCAUUAAUACACAACCCAGGCCUUCUCGGGAUGCAUCAGUGUACACAACAUAUCCAUCCACCCCGUUUGGUAAGACUAGAACUGGAGCCAUGGUCAAUCUUUUCUUUAAUUCCUGAAAACUUGUCUCACUUCGGGCGUUCCAUAAGAACCGAACAUGUUUCUUCGUCAAAUCAAUUAGAGGACCGACUAGUUUGGAGAAGUCCUUGAUAAAACGCCGGUAAUAUCCAGCCAGUCCUAGAAAGCUGCGGACCUCUGUGGGAGUUUCUGGCCUCUUCCAAUUAGUCACAGCCUCUACUUUCGCCGGGUCGACUGAAAUACCCUCUUGAGAAAUUAUGUGCCCCAGAAAAGCAAUUUUCUCCAGCCAAAAUUCGCACUUGCUGAACUUGGCAUAUAGUUGAUGAUCUCUCAGGGUUUGCAAGACAAUCCUCAAGUGUUGCUCAUGCUUUUCACGGGUCUUGGAAUAGACCAGGAUGUCAUCGAUGAAGACCACUACAAAUCGAUCUAGGUAGGGCUUAAAAACCCUAUGCAUUAGGUCCAUGAAGGCGGCAGGAGCAUUGGUUAAUCCAAAUGGCAUAACUGCGAACUUGUAAUGGCCAUAUCUCGAGUUGAAGGCGGUCUUCGGAAUAUCCUCCUUUCUGAUUAAUAACUGGUAGUACCCUUGGCGGAGGUCCAGUUUCAAGAAAACCACCGCUCCUUGCAACUGAUCAAAUAGCUCAUCGAUAUGGGGCAGUGGAUACUCAUUUUUAAUUGUAAUAUUAUUCAGGCCCUGAUAAUCAAUACACAUCCUCAAACCACCAUCUUUUUUCUUUACAAACAGUACAGGAGCUCCCUAAGGAGACCCACUCUCUUGAAUGAAUCCCCGCCCCAAAAGGUCCUGUAAUUGCAACUUUAGCUCCUUGAGCUCGGCAGGAGCCAUUCGGUAUGGUGUUUUUGAGAUGGGUGAGGCUCCCGGUAGCAGGUCUAUUUUGAAUUCAAUUUCUCUUUCUGGAGGUAAGGCUACUAAUUCAUCAGGAAACACGUUCGGAAAUUCCUUCACUAUGGCCACAUCCUCCACUUUCAACUUAUCCGUGGGGGUGUUAAUCAAAAAGGCCAAAAAUCCUUGCGCUCCUCUACUUAGCAAUUUCCUAACCCGAAUGCCCGAAAUUAAAGCAGAUGAGGCUAACAUACCCCUUAUAUCCAACCUUAUGGUUGCCUCACCAGGGAUACGAAAUUCCACCACUUUCGUUUUACAAUCCAGUUGGGCAUUAUACUGGCUAACCAAUCCAUACCCAAAAUCACAUCAUACCCCUUAAUGACCAGACUUAUCAAAUCCCCUAACAAUCUUUUCUCUCCUACCCACACUUCACAAUCCUUAUAAACCAUACUAGUAACCAAGCAUUGAUUCCCCGUAGGUGUACUAACUUCUAGGUCGUAUGGUAAACUAGCAGGUUUUAUAUCGAUGCCACACAUGAAAUCAGGGUUAACAAAGGAAUGGGUGGCACCAGGAACAAUUAAAACUUUGGCAAAACGGUGGAAAAUAGGGAUCGUACCUUCUACGACCUCUGAGGAUUCUGGGACCUGUCGAGGUUCUAAGGAAUAGACUCGAGCUGGCACUUUAGGUUUCGCCUCAUUCCUCUUAUUCGGUCCCGUAUUGGUCUUUGGCGUGGUUUGAGUUCCCCUUCCGUCUUGCGUUAUGAGUGGGCAGGUAGCAAGCUGGUGGUCUGCGUUUCCGCAACGCAGACAUUUGCCUCCCUUCUUCCAGCAAUUAUCUUCAGAGUGAUUCAGCUUUCCGCAGUACCCGCAAGGUCCACGAGAUGCCGAACCUGAGCCCCUCUGGAAGUUUCCACCUUGGCCUCUCCCGGCUGGGCCGCCCCUAGACUGAGCCCCUCUGCCGGAACCUGACUGUCGUCCACCUCCAGCUCCGUGUCCAAACUUGGAGGGAGUACCUUUGUCCCCUUGUCCAGAACUGCUUCCAGGAAAGUCCCGCUUCUUCGCUUGGAAGUUCCGGACUUGCAAUCGAGCACUCUCUACCCUUGGGGCCUUUUCUACGACCUCGCUAAAAGCAUUGAUUUGAGCCACUGCGAGGUCCUUUUGAAUUUCGACGUUCAAGCCCUGAAUGAAACGCCUGAUUCGCCGUUGCUCUCUCAUGAUCAGCUCAGGCACAAAUUUGGACAAACUGGUGAACUGGCUCUCGUAUUCCCCCACCGAUUGAGUUCCUUGGUGGAGUUGGAUGAACUCGUCUUCCUUCCUUUCCUGAACUAGAGGAGGGAAGAAUUUCGCAUCAAAUUCCCGGAUGAAAUUCACCCAAGUCCUGGGCGUUUAUUCCCAUUCCCAUUUUUGUCGUAUGACGUUCCACUAGGAACGGGCCGCCCCUUCGAACUGGAAUAUGGCAAAAGUCACCUGCCGUUCAUCGGUGUAGUGCAAAGCCGCAAAAAUAUCAACCAUCUUCUCGAGCCCUCGCUCGGCAACAUCCGGAUCAGGUCCCCCAAUGAAUUUGGGUGGAGCAAAUUUUUGAAAACGUUCGAGAGCUCUGUCUUCACUCUCGAUGUGGUUACCAGGGUUUCCAGGAUUAGGGUUUGUAUUCUGGCCUUGUUGCUGCACCACUUGUGCUAGCAAGUUAGUCAUUUGCUGCAUAGCGGCAGCGAUUUGCACAUUGGGGUCAGGGUUAGGUCCCGUAGAAGUUUCUCCAAUACCCCUAUCCGGUGUGGGUUGUCUAUUUUCGCGCCCACGUCCCCGUCCACUACGUGUUCCUUCCAUACUUUAUAUGAUCUAGGCAAUGGUACUAAACCAAUAUAAAACAAUGCAUGUAAGUAUACUCAAAACUUUCCAAACACACAUAUAUACAUUACAAACAAGACAAACAACACACAUAUAUACAAUCAGUCAAGUCACAUGCAAGCAUCGACAAUCCCCAAGGGAAUGGCCUCAUCAAAAGAAAUAUACACGUAGCUAAUCUAGCCGUACAAAAUGAUUAGCUAAGGCCCUACUCCCUAUCCGCCCUAUAUACAAGACCAAAACUAUCUACAACAACUCUAGGAGUCGUAACCUAGACCGAUGACGAGCUAUGAGACCCACCCGACGGAGUGGAUCCAACCCCAGCCUCAGACCUCGCACAGGAGUCCUUGUCUCUCACUCCCUCCACCACCUCGGCGCAGAGGUUCAGGAUCGCAGCAGCUCUAUUCUUCACCUUUCGAGCCCUCUUAGACUCGCGCUCACGCGCCUCCCUAAGCUGGGUACAGAGAUCAUCAACUCUAUUCUCAACCUCUAGUACAUCGUACUUCAAAUCCUAAAUGCGCUUAGCUUGUUUCUCAUUAUCUGCCCUCAACUGCUUCACCUCAGUCUCAAGCCUAGCGUUAUCUUUCGCCAACGCCUUCUGCUCCUUUGCCACGGCCAACACUAAGGUGUUAGGGUAGGCGUAGGCGUGGCGACACUCACACCGACGAAGGCGACUCGCCGGACUCCAACGCAAGACGCCCCUGUCAGCCGAAUCUGGUACGGGAUCACUGGGAGCGCUACACGGGGGUCGCUCGCCUGCAGGGCCAUCGCUCGGUCCACUAGAUCCGUCCAUCCUACACCAAAAGUGUAAAUAAGCAUAAAUAAGCUUAAAGGCCAUAACAAAGAACCCUCAAAUCAAGCAAUUCUAUAACACCCAGGCUAAUUCAAACCUAGGCUCUGAUACCACCUGUGACAGCCCCACCUUCCCCUAAGGCGAACCAAAGAGGUUAGCGGCCUACCUGCCCAGCUCUCGCCAGGACUAACGGUGCAAUUUAGAGCGAUCUAUCUCGUUCCGGAACUUAUAAACGCGCGUAAACAAGGCAAAAGGGCAAAAUCACCCAAAAUAAAAAAAAAUGAAAUUCGGAGUCGGUCAUGAAUAGUAACUGACCCGUCAGAACGCAACCAAAUAUUGAACAAACAUUCACAUCUUGAACUUUAGCAAAUACAAUCCAAAGUGACAUACAAAAGUUGUCAAAAGUGAAUAUAUACAAGGUUUGCCAAAUUGAAAGUGAAAAAGGCCCUAAAGUUACAUUUAGGGUUUCACUUCAUACACAAUACAAAAAAUAUACAUUUAGUUCAUUCGGCAACCAUCUAUCAAGAUUCAUUCCAAAAAAGUCAUAUUCCUAUAAGGAAAACAAAAGAAACGGUGUGAGCUAAUUGUCCAGUGAGAUACUAUCACUUACGCAACCAAGUGCAUAUAAGCAUCAAGCUUUCAAUCAAUAUUAUAAAAAUAAGCAAAGGCACGCGUCAAAUAUGGUGAUAAAAGGAUACAGAUGGCUCUCAAGAGCCCUUUUCCUUGUUUGCAUUUCUUGAUCGAACGUCAUUGACUCUUCGUCAAUGUUCAACAAUAACCAACCGUAGACUCCACUUUACUUCCAUUCCUUCCACCUAACAUUCCCCAACCGGGCCCGAAAUCCAAACACUUGCAUUGUGGUAUUACUCGAGUAAACCGGAAUUGAGAGUCUCUCAUACUACAAGAUUCCAUAUAACAUUGCCCUAAGACACAUUAAUUGGCACGACCAAACCCUCGCCGGCUCGAUUCAAUCAAUUACCAAUGGGGUUGAGCUCAUUGAUAACAUUUGUAGUCGUUGGAGACUCGUCCAAACGACACCAAGUCAUGCAUUUCAUUUCAUAUAACAUCUCAUAUAACAUUCCAAUAACUUUUCAAUAACAUGCGAAACAAUAAGUGAGAAUGAUAAAGUACACUCUCACUCCAAUCAAUUAACAUUCAACAUCUCAAGUUCAAAUAUCAAAGCCAUAUAAUAGCACACAAGUGAGUAGUACACUCACCAAGCUAGCAAAUGUGGUUUCAUGCACUUCCGUCAAAAGAACGUUGUGCACCACCGUCACGCCCUAAAACAUGCAAACAAAUACAAUGAGACUCGAUAACGAGUCAUAAACCAAGGCCAAACAUGACCCCAAUAGGGUUCCAUAAGCAUAUACAAAUAUUAAAGGAAACCAGAAAUUUCGGAAAUGUAACUAGUUUUGGCCCUGAAAAAACAGUUUUGUCCUCAUUUUGCGGUAAUGGUACCAAUUUCACUACGAUUAUCGGAUGAGGGUACAAGACCCACCAUCUCGAAGCUAAAAUACAGGGCUACAACAUCACAGAAGGUCACUCAACCCAGUUUUGAGUGGAAACAGGUCAAAAAUGCAAUAUACUACAUCAAAAACGUAAAACAGAUUCACCAAAACGCAUUCUAGUGGAAACAUCAUAACUCAGGCUCUACAAGUCCAAAUCCAGAAAUUCAAAAACCAGCUAAAAGCUAAGAAACAGGGCUAAAUUUCAUCAGAAGGCCUCAACAACCAAUUUGGAAGCAAUUCCAGCCAAAACAACCCAUUACAGUCGCACUUCUCAAUUUCGGGUAAAACCAGAACAGCAAUAGUAAUUUCGACUUAUCUCAUUCUACACUACUCCGAUUGACCUGAAAUUUUGUAGACACCUCUAAAAUGUCAUUCCCUACAACUUUCAUGUUUUAAGCUAAGGCCUAUUAUGCCUCUAACCUAAAAUUUCGGACAGAAUGCUCCCUAUAGAACCCUAGUUUUCUGAAAUUUCUUCCAAACCAGAAAUUGAUUGCAAUUAAUCACUUUUCCCACCUCCUUAAGUCAUUAUAGACCAUUUCCAAUCAUCAUAGAUAGCCACACAAUCAUGCUUAUAUUAAAACAGAAAAAUCCCCAAAAAUAAUAAAACUUCAUCAUUUCAACCACAAAUCAAGAAUUAAUCCAUAAACUUGCAUCUUAUACUACCACUAAGCAUGAUUUAAGCAUCAAUUAAAGGAGGAGGGUGGUUCUUCACAACUUACCUUAAGAACAAGAGAGAGAGAGCUAUUGACCACCUUAACUUUCCAAACAAUUCCACAAAUCCACUCACUAACUCUAAUUGAAGAGGUUUUAUGGAGUAAUUUCAAGGUUGGAUGGUUAGUUUUGAUGAUUUGGAACAAGAUUGAAGUGUUUUCUUCCUUGUGCUUGGAGUAAGAGAGAGAGAAAGAGAGCAAGAGAGGGCCGGCUUCAAGGAGGAUUUUUUUUGAGGAUUUUUGGGUUAUUUUUGGUUAUUUAAGUCAAUGGUAAGAAAAGUCUUAAGGUAAGCCCAAUCAAAUGGUGACACUUGUCACCUUUUAUUAAAUGCUCACCAACCUUGUCUCUGUUAUAUCAAUCCACUUAGCACCCUCUACUUAUCUCUUAACACCCGGUAACUUAAUUCCAGUAUGCAAAACUUAACCUAGUUGGCCGAAUUUUUCCGAACUUUUCGCAAUAGCGGGUCCCACGUCCGAUAUAUAUCAUUAAUUUUUUCAAAAACUAUCCAAUACUAGAAAAAUCAUCUAAAAACUAUAUUUACUCAUAAAAUUCACCAAGAAACUUUCCCUAAGCCAGAAAAUGCACAAAACAUGCCUUUAAGGGGAAAAACCCUAGGAAAAUAUUAGGAGGAAUUUAUGGGUUCUCACAGAAUGGCAGAGCUAGGGGUUUUUUCCAGGCAACACGGGGAGUCAGGCAAGGAGACCCUCUGUCCCCUAUCCUUUUCAUUCUCGCUUCUGAAGCUCUUAGUAGGGGAUUGAAUGCGCAAGUAGCGGAUGGCAGGGUGGCCCUUUACUCAUUGCCCAGAGGUUGCACUGGGGUCACACACUUAUCUUUUGCUGACGAUAUUGUGAUAUUUGCUCAUGGGGAUAGGCGGUCUGUGGAUAGCCUGGUCCGAUUCUUAUCGCUCUAUCAGGCUGGUUCGGGCCAACGGGUUAACAAUCACAAGAGUUUCUUCAUAACUUCCCAUCGGUGUGGCGCGGGCCAAAUACGCAGAAUUCAGCAGCUAACCGGCUUCAGGCAUAGCUCCUUUCCUUUCUACUAUUUGGGGUGCAAUCUCUAUGUUGGGCAUCGGAAAAAAGAAUUCUUCCAAUUCUUGAUUGACAAGUUUGUUGCUAAGCUGGCAGGCUGGCAGAAAAGCUGCUCUCACAGGGGGGUCGUCUCAUCCUCAUUAAGCAUGUCGUUUCUGCCAUACCUUUGCACGUUGUGGCGGUAAUGGACCCCUCCACAGGAGUGCUAAAGGACCUCGAGCGCAUAAUGGUGAACUUUCUCUGGGGACAGACAGAAUUCGGUCCCAAGCAUCAUUGGUGCUCCUGGCGGAACCUUUGUUAUCCGGUGGAGGAGAAUGGUCUUGGAAUCCGAGCAAUUGAAGACGUUCAGGGGGCGUUCAGCUACAAAUUAUGGUGGCGGUACUGUAACUCGUCCUCCUUAUGGACAACUUUUAUGAGAUCACGCUAUGGUGUAGGUAACGGAGCUGCACGCGGGAGUUCCAGGGUCUGGAGACGGAUGCUUGCUGUUCGGGAUACGGUGGACCAGUUCACGCAAGCUAUAGAUUUGGAAGGCAGGGUUCAGCGGGCCUGGGUCCUUACACCCUCUAGCGAUUUCACUAUCUCCUCUGCAUGGGAUGCUCUCCGGCCUAAGCAGGAGUGCCUCUGGUCCAGGAAGUGCGUUUGGAGUAGCCGUGUCCCCUGCAAGCUUGCUGUAUUCAUGUGGAAACUGCUCAACAACUACUUACCGUUCCCGGACGCCUUGCAGCGGCUUGGUUUUCAACUUCCCUCUAAAUGCCAGUUCUGCAUGGGAGGGGAAUCUCAAGAUCACGUACUGUCGGACUGCACUCUUGCUACUGAGGUAUGGAAUUUCUUCUCUAGGGCUCUGUCAGUACCUGCAAUGGGCCCGACUGGCAUCUUCGGUCGCUUGCAGCAAUGGUGGCUUUACCAGUCUUCAGGCACUGCCCGGGGGAUGGUAUGUAGGGUGUUGCCAUCGCUUAUAUGUUGGGGGCUGUGGAAGGCUUGGAACAUGGCGAUGUACGAGGGCGCAGCAGCGUCACCGGUAUAGGUUUGCAAGGAGGUACAAACUCUGUUGCUUAGUAUAUCUCAGGUUCGACCUUUCGUCCAGGUGGCACGGGAUGACGGGGAGCUGGCCCACUUGGGCUUAUUGCUUUGCAUGGAACGGAAGAAGUCCGUGCUACCACGCUGGGUUGCAUGGUCGCGGCCACCUAUCGGGUGUGUCAAAUUAAAUAUUGAUGGCUCUUCUUUAGGGAAUCCAGGACACUCUAGAGCGGGUGCGGUAUUUCGUGAUUCAUGUGGUAACAUCCUUUGUUGUUUCUCGUGGUUUUUGGGAUCCCGGACAAACAUGGAAGCGGAGGCCAUGGCGUUACUGGAGGGUUUGUUACUCUCCGCUACUUUUCAUUCUUUGCACGUUGAAAUGGAUUCUCAGGUAUUGUUGAAUAUGGUGAACGGCGAUGGUGGAGUUCCUUGGAGAUUAUGGCUUACUAUCUCGCAUAUCAAAUCCUUAGUGCUCGGUCGCCAGAUCACCUUCACUCAUGUUUACAGAGAGGCAAACGCGGUUGCUGAUGCCCUGGCGCAUCUGGCAAGCACCACGCAUGUUUGUCAGUCCUUUCCCCCCUCCCCUUUGCCUGCCCACAUACGGGGGUUAGCCCACCUGGAUAGGAUACAGAUGCCUUAUGUCCGUUUGCCUUAGCCUGACUGGCAGACUGCUAGCUGUCUUGGUGUACGUUAAUGAUCCUUGGAAUAACAUUCGGAGUGGCGCCCACCCCCAAAAAUGGGGUUAGCCAAAAAAAAAAAAGUGGAGAAAGGAACCGGCUAGAGUGGAAAUGUUUGCAUGUGUAGUUUGUUCUAGGACGUUCCAUGGUUGCAUGGUGAAUUUGAAAUGGAGAAAGGCUAUUUCGGUCUUUUCACAACUUGUUCGCCCCUUCCACUUAAGCUCUCAUUCGUAAACUAACCCAAUAUUUUUCCUCAAAUGAAAUUCGAUAACCUUCUAGCAUACUAAUCCCGCAGAAAUUAAAUUAUCGAGAUUCAACGUCCUAAGCGUAAUUAUAAGAGGUUUUGUCCUAAGUCGUUUCCGUCUUAGUUCUAGGUUCCCGUUGACACUUAACGUUAUUAACACUUAAAACUAGCUAUCGGAAUUCAAAGAUUUAAUAUUAAAGCAUUAACAUAAUCUACAUCAAGAAAUAUUAAUUUAACUUGGCAAAAAUUCAAAUAGUUUAGUAUGUUGCACAAUUAAAUGAUUUGUAUCAUAAGAAUUAUUUUUACAAACCUAACUAAAACAAAUAAUAACAAAAUUUAUUCAAAAUCUAAAAUGCACAUGCAACAAGUAUAUACAUAUAUAUAUAUAUUUUUUUUCAAGGCUCUCACAAGAAAUAUCCUAGAAUGGUGCAAAAUAUAUAUAUAUAUAUAUAUGAAUCAAAUAAACAUAUGAUAUGCAUAUUGUAAUUUGAGCAAUUUGAAUAUAUUAUAUAGUUGAAUAAGUUACAUGACUAAUUAAUUUUCCUUAAAGCCAAAUGUGUGGAAAUCUACUAAAUUGAUAUAAGCGAAAAUUUUCAAGGUACAUAUAAAUUAGAACAAACGAAAUUUUGAGUCAACGUGUGAGACAAUAAAAUUAUAGCCUCGUAGCAAAUAAAUGAACUAAAAUUAAAGGACCGAACUAAUCUUGGGGAUUCGGUUAAACUACCAUGCAAUUAAGGAACUAGUUACCAGAAUUUUGACAAAACAGGAACCGAAUGGAAGCAUGGCAACUAUCUACUGUCUAAACGGUGGAAAGGAAAAAGGAGUAGGAGUUGUUUGAUAGUUGGGCCGUAGGAAACCUUUAUUUGGACAGCUGCCAGGAAGGAACUUACCACCGAAACUGGUGAGUAAGCAGCGACCGAAUGAGAGGAACUUGGAAUGAUCAGCCACCGAAUGGAGAAACAUUGAGUGAUCAGCUGAGUGAAGAAGUACGCUUAAUUCUCUUCCUACCAACCAAGCAUUAGGAACAAAACUGAGAGAGAGAGAUUCGGUCACACCCAUUUUAUCUCAAAAACCCAACCGAGUGAGAGGAAAAGAAAACAGAGAAUGAAGCUUUCUUUCCUCUUCAUACCCAAAACCGUGAGACAGAGUGAGAGUGAAGGAGCAUUUCUGGUUCCUUCUAGCCACAACCGAGUGAGUAAGAGAGCUGAGUGAGUGAUAAGAGGAGGAAGCUAACUUAGAAUUUCACAUAUCAGCUACCAUAGUGAGGAGGAACCGAAGCUAGGAGCAAUCUGCCACUAGUAAAACUUAGCAGAAAAAGGUAAGAAUCUUGUAACCACCCUUUUAUUUCUUGAAUAUAACUGAAUAUAUGGGCUUCAUGUUAG
rnacentral:lncRNA from 1 species